CUCUUUAUUCCUUUACUUCAUUUCCAAUCCUUAGCUCAUCAGCACAAAAUAAUAUUCACAAGGCACUGAACUUGGUUCAUAAUCUUGUCCCUUACACUAACUCUGCGUUGAUACUAAGAUAACAUGAAACUCACAGACAAUCAAAGAAUUAGCAUAUUAUAAUGGCUCUCUAUUUCUUGCAAGGAAUCUUAUUCAAUGAUUUCAAAACUGUGUCAUGCUUUUCUUUUCUUUUUUCUUUUCCAUUUUGAUGAAGUAUAUAUAUAAAUGCGCUCAUAUAUUUACCAACCAAAGUGCCUCCUCCAAAACAACUAACAACUUUCUGGUUAAUUCAAACAAGGUUCAAGUAUGAGAGGGACACCAGUUUUAUGUUUCAUUCUUUUGUUGUUCAUGGUUCUCAUGCACUCAGCUUAUGGAAGCAAAGGCACUGCAGAAGCAAGUUCACAAAACCAGUCUAAGGUGAUGCAUGGUAGGAUCAAUGGGUGGAGCAAAGUAGAGAAUCAAAGAAGACAUCAAGGAUUAUUGCAUGUUGUCCAACAUGCUGGCAGUGGCGGCAAGGCAAUCAACGGUGCACAUCCACGUGCCGGUCGCCGGAGCAGUGCAAAUUCCUUGUCAAUCAGACGCUCAUCCUUGUUCAUGGCAGCGUUCAGGCAUCUCAGUUUUGGAUUGCUACUUCUUGUUUGCUUCUAUUAAGUUCCUAUCCAUGUUAGUCUAAAGAUCUAUUUGGCUUGUAUCAGAAGGAGAAGAGUUUGUUUCUCUCUCCACAAAAAUCUAGAUAUAUGAUGUCUAAUAUACUUAUAUUAUUACUCA